UAUCUUAGGUUAAUUCUUAUGCAAGUUAUCUUAGGUUAAUUCUUAUGCAAGUUAUCUAGGUUAUAAAUAUAGGCUGUAAGACUCUUUUUGGAAUUAAGCAAUAAGAAUAUUAUUAUCUCUAUUGCCCGGCUCCCAGAGGAGCCGGAACCCUAGCCGCCUCUAACCCUAGCCGCCGCCGCCAUCCUCCUCCCACGCGACGGUGCCCAGCCGCCGGCGCGCCCGCUCAUCGCCGCGCCCUCCUCAAUCCUUCCCCUACAACCUACGGAGCAGGUCCGGUAGGAUCCCUGGUUCUACCAAAGACGAUGUUGAAGGUGAUACGCCGGAGGUAGUUUGAUCUCUUAGUAUGUGCACAUGGUACUUACUGGGGGUGGUGUGAUCGCUUCACAGAGCCGAUGACAAUCGAUGAGUGUCAACAAAGGAGAUUUUGGUGCUUGCAACUAUUGGAGGAAGAUGAUGUCUAUGUGUCAAUCCCUGGAGGAAGAUGAUGCUGAAGGUGGGCUCUAACAUGUGCCACGUGCUGAACUUGAUUUGAUGCUAGCUCACACGUUUGGUUUUCUUGUGCUGCCACCAUUGCUAAUCUGAUUGCAAAAGCUCAUAAAACAGAACCUUGCCUUCUCGCGGUCUCACCUUGCCCCGAUCACUCAAGAUAGCAAACACCGCCAGCCUGGUACAACAUAUCUGUCUAAAGUUAGACUUUGUUCCCAUGGUGUUGUGGCAUCAAAAAUUCAGAUAAUCUAUAUCUUUCUUAACCCUGCAGUUGUGAUCAUUUAAUUGUAGUUACAUGUGUUUCUGUAGAGGCAUCCUUCCAUUGAUGUAUAAUUGGAAUAGUUAUUGUGUUCAUAGUUCUUUUGGCCGAUGGCAGCUAUGUAUAUAGAUUUUCUCAAAAGAAAUAUGCUAAGAGCUGUAUCUCAA